AGUUGUUGCAGUUAAAAAGCUCGUAGUCGGAUGUCGGGCUCGGGCAGGCUGUCGGCUUCGGUCGGACGGCAGGCUCGGGUCUUUCUGCCUGAGGAUCCAUCUCAUUCACUUGGGGUGGGGACGCAGGCCGUUUACUUUGAAAAAAUUAGAGUGUUCAAAGCAGGCCUACGCUUGAAUACAUUAGCAUGGAAUAAUGGAAUAGGACUUUGGUGCUAUUUUGUUGGUUUAUGGGACCGAAGUAAUGAUUAACAGGGACAGUUGGGGCCGUUUAUAUUUCGUUGUCAGAGGUGAAAUUCUUGGAUUUACGAAAGAUAAACUUCUGCGAAAGCAUUCGGCAAGGAUGUUUUCAUUGAUCAAGAACGAAAGUUAGGGGAUCGAAGACGAUCAGAUACCGUCGUAGUCUUAACCAUAAACUAUGCCGACUAGGGAUCAGUGGAUGUCAAUUUGCGACUCCAUUGGCACCUUGUGAGAAAUCAAAGUUUUUGGGUUCCGGGGGGAGUAUGGUCGCAAGGCUGAAACUUAAAGGAAUUGACGGAAGGGCACCACCAGGAGUGGAGCCUGCGGCUUAAUUUGACUCAACACGGGGAAACUUACCAGGUCCAGACAUAGUAAGGAUUGACAGAUUGAAAGCUCUUUCUUGAUUCUAUGGGUGGUGGUGCAUGGCCGUUC
rnacentral:rRNA from 1 species